GCGGAGGAAAAGAAACUAACAAGGAUUCCCCUAGUAGCGGCGAGCGAAGCGGGAAGAGCUCAAAUUUAUAAUCUGGCACCUUCGGUGUCCGAGUUGUAAUCUCUAGAAAUGUUUUCCGCGUUGGACCGCACACAAGUCUGUUGGAAUACAGCGGCAUAGUGGUGAGACCCCCGUAUAUGGUGCGGACGCCCAGCGCUUUGUGAUACAUUUUCGAAGAGUCGAGUUGUUUGGGAAUGCAGCUCAAAUUGGGUGGUAAAUUCCAUCUAAAGCUAAAUAUUGGCGAGAGACCGAUAGCGAACAAGUACCGUGAGGGAAAGAUGAAAAGCACUUUGGAAAGAGAGUUAACAGUACGUGAAAUUGUUGGAAGGGAAACGCUUGAAGUCAGACUUGCUUGCCGAGCAAUCGGUUUGCAGGCCAGCAUCAGUUUUCCGGGAUGGAUAAUGGUAGAGAGAAGGUAGCAGUUUCGGCUGUGUUAUAGCUCUCUGCUGGAUACAUCUUGGGGGACUGAGGAACGCAGUGUGCCUUUGGCGGGGGUUUCGACCUCUUCACACUUAGGAUGCUGGUGGAAUGGCUUUAAACGACCCGUCUUGAACCCGGGAC
rnacentral:rRNA from 1 species